GGGCCUGUAGCUCAGUUGGUUAGAGUACU
rnacentral:tRNA from 1 species